GGUUGUGACUCAGUGGUAGAGUGUUUGCCUAGCAUGUGGGAGGCACUGGGUUUGAUUCUCAGCACCA
rnacentral:tRNA from 1 species